rnacentral:rRNA from 1 species
ACUCCUACGGGAGGCAGCAGUGGGAAUAUUGCACAAUGGGGGAAACCCUGAUGCAGCCAUGCCGCGUGUGUGAAGAAGGCCUUCGGGUUGUAAAGCACUUUCAGUAGGGAGGAAGGUAGUGUAGUUAACACCUGCAUUAUUUGACGUUACCUACAGAAGAAGCACCGGCUAACUCCGUGCCAGCAGCCGCGGUAAUACGGAGGGUGCGAGCGUUAAUCGGAAUUAUUGGGUUUAAAGGGUCCGUAGGCGGGCCGGUAAGUCAGGGGUGAAAGUCUGUAGCUCAACUAUAGAACUGCCUUUGAUACUGCCGGUCUUGAGUCACGGUGAAGUUGCCGGAAUAUGUGGUGUAGCGGUGAAAUGCAUAGAUAUCACAUAGAACACCGAUUGCGAAGGCAGGUGACUAACCGUGUACUGACGCUGAUGGACGAAAGCGUGGGGGAGCGAACAGGAUUAGAUACCCUGGUAGGCUCUGCU